GAUGAACGCUGGCGGCGUGCUUAACACAUGCAAGUCGAGCGAGUGAGUUCUUCGGAACGAUCUAGCGGCGGACGGGUGAGUAACACGUGGGCAACCUGCCUCAUAGAGGGGAAUAGCCUUCCGAAAGGAAGAUUAAUACUGCAUAACAUCGUUGAAGGGCAUCCUUCGAUGAUCAAAGGAGCAAUCCGCUAUGAGAUGGGCCCGCGGCGCAUUAGCUAGUUGGUGAGGUAACGGCUCACCAAGGCGACGAUGCGUAGCCGACCUGAGAGGGUGAUCGGCCACAUUGGGACUGAGACACGGCCCAGACUCCUACGGGAGGCAGCAGUGGGGAAUAUUGCACAAUGGGGGAAACCCUGAUGCAGCAACGCCGCGUGAGUGAUGACGGCCUUCGGGUCGUAAAGCUCUGUCUUUGGGGACGAUAAUGACGGUACCCAAGGAGGAAGUCACGGCUAACUACGUGCCAGCCGCCGCAGUAAUAC
rnacentral:rRNA from 1 species